rnacentral:rRNA from 1 species
UGGGGAAUAUUGGACAAUGGGCGAAAGCCUGAUCCAGCGACGCCGCGUGGGUGAAGAAGGCCUGCGGGUUGUAAAGCCCUUUCAGUGGGGAAGAAAAGCCUCGAGCUAAUAUCUCGGGGUCUUGACGUAACCCAUAGAAGAAGCACCGGCUAACUCUGUGCCAGCAGCCGCGGUAAUACAGAGGGUGCGAGCGUUAAUCGGAAUUACUGGGCGUAAAGCGCGCGUAGGCGGCUUUGCAAGUCGGAUGUGAAAUCCCCGGGCUUAACCUGGGAACUGCAUUCGAGACUGCAUUGCUAGAGUAUGGGAGAGGGAAGUGGAAUUUCAGGUGUAGCGGUGAAAUGCGUAGAUAUCUGAAGGAACAUCAGUGGCGAAAGCGACUUCCUGGACCAAUACUGACGCUCAUGUGCGAAAGCGUGGGGAGCAAACAG